UAAGCGGAGGAAAAGAAACUAACAAGGAUUCCCCUAGUAACGGCGAGUGAAGCGGGAAAAGCUCAACUUUGUAAUCUGGCUGUUUCACAGUCCGAGUUGUAGUCUCGAGAAAUGAUAUCCGCGCCGGACCUUAGACAUGUCUGUUGGAAUACAGUGUCAAAGAGGGUGAGAAUCCCGUACAUACUAAGGACGACCGUGUGCAUUGUGAUACGUUUUCAAAGAGUCGAGUUGUUUGGGAAUGCAGCUCAAAUCGGGUGGUAAACUCCAUCUAAAGCUAAAUAUUGGCGAGAGACCGAUAGCGAACAAGUACCGUGAGGGAAAGAUGAAAAGCACUUUGGAAAGAGAAUGAAAUAGUAUGUGAAAUUGCUGGAAGGGAAACGUUUGAGGUUAGACUUGCUUUUGUGGUAUUCAGCCGAAAGGUGUACUUGCCACAUAAUGCAGGCCAGCAUCAGUUUGAGCCGUUGUAAAAGGGUAGAGAGAACGUAGCUUGCUCGCUUAGUGUUAUAGCUCACUACUGGAUGCAAAGGUUUGGACUGAGGAACGCAGCGCGCCGCAAGGUAAAGCUUAUCAAGCUUAAAGCGCUUAGGAUGCUGGGUAGAAUAGCCUUUAACCGACCCGUCUUGAAACACG
rnacentral:rRNA from 1 species